CUAGACGCACACGUGGGAAAUGACUAAGGUGUUUGCCUAGGAAUGGAAGAAGCACCUUCUGAACUCAGCCUCUGGGAUGUCAGCCUGAUAUCAGAGAACUUGAUGAGAUUGUCAUUUGUAAGCUAUUCCAAGAGCCUUCCCCCCACUUUUUGGCUGAAGAGUAGAAGAAAAGAAAAAACUAAAUUAAAUGAAAAACCUACUAAAACGACCUUUGAUUUUAAGCAAUUUAGUACAUUCUGUAACCUGCUGUUCUCCCGAAAACUCAGAGGAGUCCGACCCACAGUACGGAACACAUGGCUCCCAGUGGAGAUAAGCUGUGAAGCUGAGCCAUGGGGGUCCAUGAACUGAGACUCCCUCCCAAGAUCUCAGCAAUCAGGCAUGGAUACAAUUUGCUGGAUUGGUUGCUGGGCUUUUGAUUUGUGCCUGGAUUUAUGGCUGGCUUUUAUCAGCUGCUGGGUUGGUUGCAUUGAUUUACAGUUUUAUUGAGUUUUUGUGUGGCUUGUUUUAAUUUUGACUGUUUUACUGUGUGUGUUGCUUGGAGAAUAUAUAUUUGCUUUAAUUGGGUGACUCGUAAACUGAACAAAUAAUAAUUUUACAAAAUUCCAGGAAGGAUGGCCAUGACCACUGAAGAGUGGCACCACUGCCAUGGUUGCCGAAGCAACAAGCUCAGCACUGGCAGAAGGUGGCAUUACCUGGGUCUCUAGAAGACACACCUCCAAUGCCAGGGAAGUUGGUUCUAGGGAGGUCAGCUCCUGAUGCCUGGCGGGAGAUGGGAGAGAGGUGAGGCUGCAGUAGUAGAACCUUCUUGAUAUCUAAAAGCCAACAGGGCAUUAACUAUGGAAAACUAAGUUCAACUUAUUUAACUAUGGUAAGCAAACUUAGUUUAACUAACUUAAACUAUGGCAUUUACUCCCACAGGAGGCAGUGAUGGCCACCAUCUUGGAUGACUUUAGAAGAAAUUUGGAUAAAAUUCACCGGGGCGCGGGGGGGGGGGGAGAUAAGGCUAUCAAUGGCCAUUAUCCUAUGUUCUGUCUUCACUGUUGGGAGGCAGUAAUGAUUCUGAAUACCCAUUGCUGGAAACAGCAGGAGGGCAGAACACUCUUGUGCUCAGGUCCUGCUAGUAGGUUUCUCACAGGUAUCUGGGUGGUCGUUGUGAGGACAUGACUGGGGAAGGGCUUCCUUAGAAUUCACACAGUGUGCCUAGUUGGUCAGCAUAGAAUGGAGGCGGAGCAGGGAACAGUUUAUGGAACCCCUUCCCCUCUGGAAAUGAAGCCCAGGGGGAAUACUCUGAAUUCAGGGAAGGGUACUGGUGUUCAAGGUAAUUGGCAUCCAUCUCCAUCCAUGUUCACCCUUUUCCUGCCCAUGGUUGUGGAGGGCACAAUGGUCAGGGUAUUGGUGGCAUUUAGGUCCAGGUUUUGGCACAGAAACUGCCUUGCUUGACCUCUGUUGGGAGAGAGACAGGGAAAAUACACCCCUGUUAAUUCUCCUCGACCUCUCAAUAACUUUUGAUACCAUCGACCAUAGUACCCUUCUGGAGCGACUGUCUGAGUUGCAGGUGGGUGGCAUUGCAUUGGAUGGUCAUAUCCAUAGGGUGAUGCUUGGGAUGUGCUCUUCACACCCAUGGAGCCUUCAGUGUGGGGUUCCUUUGUGUUGUAUCUCCUAUGCUGUUCAACAUCUACAUGAAACUACUGAGUGGGCUCAUCCAGAGUUUUGGAGUACGUUAUCGGCAAUAUGCUGAGGACACACAGCUCUCCUCCUUUACAUCUGCAGGUGUGGCAAUGGAUGUGCUGGACUUGCCUCAGUAAUAGAUGAUGAGAGCCAACAAACUGAAGCUCAGUCCAGAUAAGACUGAGCUACUGUGAGUGGCUGGUUCCCCAGACCAGAUGGGUGGGAGGUUUCCUGAUCUUGAUGGGGUUACACUCCCUCGGAAGAAGCAGAUGUGCAGCUUGAGGGUACUUCUGGUUCCAUUGCUAUCACUUGAGGCUCUUGGGAUCUCUGUGGCACAGAAGAUCAUCUGUGCUCCAGUAUCCUAUUGGUUUGAUUACUGCAGUGUGUUAUACAGUAUGUGGGGAACAUCUGGCCUUUGGGCUUAAUCAGGCCAGACAUGGGUCCCAAUUUGGCCUGUGAACCAUUUCCCCCAAACCAGAUCCCACCUCCUAUCCUACACCUGACAUAAUAAGUGACUUCAGAUGUCGGGCAGGUAGAGGCACAGCUGCCAAUGAGCAAUCAUGAGCCUUAACACUCCUUAGCAAGGGAGACUUGCUGUCACUUUCAAUC
rnacentral:lncRNA from 1 species